ACGUUCGGAUUGCAGUCUGAAACUCGAGUGCAUGAAGCUGGAAUCGCUAGUAAUCGCAAAUCAGAAUGUUGCGGUGAAUACGUUCCCGGGUCUUGUACACACCGCCCGUCACACCAUGGGAGUUGGAAAUGCCCGAAGUCAGUGACCCAACCUAAGGGAGGGAGCUGCCGAAGGCAGGUUCGAUGACUGGGGUGAAGUCGUAACAAGGUAGC
rnacentral:rRNA from 1 species